GCAUGGGGUGGGUAAUAGGGCAUGUGAUUUGAAUGAGUAUUCCCAGCCAUUUAAUAUAUUCACAAGUCAAACUAUAAAGUAUUUCUUUAAAAAAAUUAUAGUAUUUCACUGAAGUUUGAAUGUACUUUCUCUUGCCAAAAUAAUCAGAGUCUUUCAUUUUUCUAAUGAUAAAAAUGUGCUACAUGUGUAGGAAAAUUUCCCAAAUGAAAAAUAACAUUUUCUAUGGCAGCACAUACAGUGCUUGAAUUUUUCACCUUAGAUUUUAUUCUAGCCAGACCUAAACUCUGUCUUACUUGCAUAAUGAUAAUUCAUGUCGUCAAACCAAACGCACUGUUUGCUGCUCGUUUGUCCAGGAGCCAUCUUUUCCUAAAGUGAGCAAUAUUACGUGCAUUUUGUCUGGCUGGCCGAGGGCUCCUCCCUACAGCUUCUGCAGCCAUGGAAGAGUCUGGAAGGACAGUGUUCGCUUGUACAAGAAGAGGGAAGGAUAGGAUGAGAAAAGCAAAAUCUUGGAGAGUCUGUGGUCGGAAGAAGAAAGCUGAAGCUGGUUAGGAGGAAGGAGUGUGUGAGUGAAUUAGGAGCUGAAGCAGUAAAGUAGCUUUCCCUGUGACCCUGAUGUGUCGGGCAUUUCUGUCUUAGACUAAAAGCAUAAUAAAAAAGGCACUUUGUUUAGGUUAACAGAGCAUUAUAUAACUGGAAAGUUUUACAGUUUUAUAUAUAUAGUGAAUAGUUUGUAGAGGAUAAAAAGACUUCCCUUUGGUUUAUUAUUUGGGUAAAAUAAAAACCCACGAAUCAUUUAAGGAUGCAUUUCUUUUUCUUUUUUCUGCCUUUUUUUUUUUAAGACAAAAGCUUGAAGGCAUAAAAUGGAGUUAUUUUCAUCGGGAUAUCACCCUCGAUGCUGCUGCUUUACUACAUGUUCAUAGUCAAAAUUAUUUCAUGUUUCCCUUGAAUAACUACGAUCAGUUUGAAAACAGCUUUGUUAAUUAGUAAGAGAUGACGCAAUAUAUCACUGCAUCUUUAGGGCUCUGGCGCCAGCUAGUGGUAGGAGAGGGGAGCCGCCCUGUCGCUCUCAAAUCUGGGAAGGCGUCGGUCUUCUCGCGUCCCCUUAUCCCUCAUCCUCCUCAUUUUUUUUUUCCAUCAGCAUAAUGGGGGAAUCAUUGCAGUGUGGCCAGAGAGGAGCAGACGAGAUUAUAGAUGAAAGUAGAGAAAAACGGUGGGCAGGGGCAGGGAGAGGAAAGGCCAGACAAAUGCAAUCAUUUCUCCAAAGGAUUUGAGAAGAGAUCAUUUAUUUGAAAUAUUCCUGCCAUGUUGAUGGAGCAGCUCAAUCUUUUGCCAGUGAAUCUUUAGCGUUUUGUUUUUCAUUUGUAGAUAUGGUUGAACAUAUACUUAGGACACGUAAUAACUAUGGAACUUCAUCACAAACACAGCACUGAGGACAUGUUAAGGAGACAUGCAUACAAGGAGAAUGCCAGGUGAACGUGAAGACCAUCAUUUGCAAGCCAAGAGAGGCCUGGAGCAGAUCCUUCAGAGCCCUCAGAAGGGACCAACCCUGCUGGCACCUUGAUUUUGGACUUCCAGCCUCCAGAACUAAGAACUUGAUGUAUACCUCCUGACCUGUUCAUCUUGUAGCUGCCUCUUGACAGACUUGUGACUGCUUUGCCCAAAAAAGCAUGAUGGAAGUGAUGCCAUGAGGCUGUUACUGAGGCUGGAUCACAAGACCAUGCAGCUUCUGCCUUAUCACUCUUCAGCCCUGAGAUUCCAGAUAUAAGAGGCCGCCCUGUAGAGGAGGAAGGAGGAAGUUGGCUGUGAUUGACCUUGCUAGGUCAUCUUCCUAAUCUUUGUCCUUUCCUGCACCCCAAAUGGAAGAUAAAAGGCAAUGCAAGAUCAGCAUCCUCAGAGACAUCGUUUUGUUUGGGUUUCAUGGAUUGCAAUUGCCAGAGAUGCUUAGGCUGCCUCUAGAGGGAAGAUGAUUGAUUGUUAACCUAUGUGGUCCAACCAAAUGUCUUAGGGGUUAUUGAUAAUUAAAAUGGACAAUAGCGAUUUUCCAUUUCUUCUGGCCUUGGGUGCUGGCAUGUGGAAGUGGUAUUGAUACUCAUGACCAAAUAGGCACUUAUCGAUUUCAGUUUUCAUAAGUUGCCUACCAAAUGCAAACUAGUAACCCAGACGUGGGAGACCUAAUAUUCCAUUGUUAAUCUUUAGGUCCAUAAUUUUUAUUUCCUCUACUUGCCUCUUCUUCCUUCCUCUGCAUAAUGAGUUGGGCUUAUAUAAUUGCACCCAUUUACUCACUCAUUCGUUCAAUCAAUUAUUUGUUCCUAUUUUAUGCCAAGUAAUGAACAGAAGGUGUUGGGGAUGCAAAACCCAACUAAUUGGAAUUUCUAUGUUACAGGAGCUUAUGCUUUAGUGAAAUUAUAGACAAAUUAUUAUACAGUUUUAAUCCAGAAUAGUAAGUGCUAUGGGAGCAUGCACAGAGGAAACAACCCAAUCUUAAGGAAUCAGGAAGGUUUGCAGAGGACUGACAGGAAAAGUGGGCAGGUGAAGAAGAUGGGCAGUGAGAGGAGGAGUGGAAGCACUUUUGCUAGGGAAAAACAUGAAUAAAAGGGAUAAUUUUCUGCUCUUACCCCUGGGUGAUCUUUGCGUGGUACUGUCCAUCACAGUUGGGAGAGACGGCUCCUCAGAGCUGCUCCACACUGUUCACAGAGGAUGCCAUUCCAAGGAAACUGGGGAAUAGGGAAAGUCUUUAGCUUAUUCCUCUUUGAGGUUUGUUUGAGAUGCAGUUUCUUCAAUAUUUUGAGUCUAUGAAAACAUGUUGUAUACUUAAAUAUAUACCACAAAAAAUAAAAAAAAUUGCGAUUUAAA
rnacentral:lncRNA from 1 species